GACGAACGCUGGCGGCGUGCUUAACACAUGCAAGUCGAACGGAAAGGCCCUGCUUUUGUGGGGUGCUCGAGUGGCGAACGGGUGAGUAACACGUGAGUAACCUGCCCUUGACUUUGGGAUAACUUCAGGAAACUGGGGCUAAUACCGGAUAGGAGCUCCUGCUGCAUGGUGGGGGUUGGAAAGUUUCGGCGGUUGGGGAUGGACUCGGGGCUUAUCAGCUUGUUGGUGGGGUAGUGGCUUACCAAGGCUUUGACGGGUAGCCGGCCUGAGAGGGUGACACGGCCAAGAUGGGUACGGGAGGCAGCAGUGGGGACUACGGGGGGAUGGAGGGGAGAAUGACGGAGAAAGGCGGGGAGCGUGAUGACGGAAUCCGGGUUGGAGGGUGCGGGCAUUCGGGUGGAAAACCCUUUUCGCGUGUAGCGAGAAGGAGUGACGGGAAAGGGGUAAAAAGCCACCGGUAAACAAGUG
rnacentral:rRNA from 1 species